rnacentral:snRNA from 1 species
AUACUUACCUGGCAGGGUAGAUACCAUGACAACAAAGGUGGUUUUCCUAGGGCAAGGCUUAUCCAUUCCUCUCAAGAUGUGCUAACCUCUGAGAGAUUUCCCGAGGUUUGGGAAACUGCCUAAUUUGUGGUAGUGGGAGACACAUUUGAGUCCUCCCU